GAUUUCAUCAGAGAAGGUACGCGGAGCAUUUUGGAAGUUCCACAAUGUCUUAGAGCCACGGGUUUUGUGCAAAUCAAACUAUUAAGAGCAAAGUUUGUGUCGCCAAGAAAGUUGCAUGCAAGAAUCUUUCCUCUGAGUUCACAGAGUGGGGUUGAAACCCACUGCUGCAGAGGCAAGGAGGGAAGGAAGGAAGGAAAUCCCAGGCUGGUGAGUAGUUUCUCUGCCCCAGCGUGAGUCCCAAAUUACAGCGAAUGGGCUCAAGUUCCUCACUGUCUGUUUCUGCUCCGCUGUGGAAAAAAUAUGUGUAUUUCCUAAUACGGAUACCCCACAAGGAGACCAUGUCCUUUAUGGAAUUCAAUACGUGGCUCUUACUGUCUUUUCAGGUCCUCAUAAAACACUUGCCUUUACACCAUACCUUUACRCCACUCUGCAGAGAUGUCCUCUGUCCUGAUCCACCUGCUUUGUGUCCUGAAUCUGCUCUCCCCAACUGAUAUGAAGAGCAUGGUCAUUUAUGUCUUCCUAGACCAAUGUGAAAUUAAGCCCUCAGAGAACAGAGGUUUCUCAGCCACAACAAUGGUCUUUGCCUGGCAGAUUAUUUUUUUUCCUCUAAUGCCCUACUUGGCCUUCUGUUCAUGGUAAAAGUUCAUCAGGUUAUGCAAUUCCAAGAGGGGUUAAUGGAUCCGUUGUGAUAAGUUAUCUCUGUGGGGUUCUUGAAAUCAGCAAGGUGAGGCUCUCGGCGGUGAGGUUCAUCAACAAGGUGUACACCAGUUUGCAUUUGGAUUAGUUCUUACCAGAGAAUCUACCUGGAGAAUACCCUACCAUAAGACCCUUUUAGUGUCUGGUUAGAUACCUGCAAGGGUCUCCCCUGAAGAAGGAAAAGUUGCCUCAUUCAUCUUUAGGAACAUUCCAAGAAGUUCAGGACCUAAGUGCAAACCAACUUGAUCCCAACCCCAAAAUUUCUAGAUGAUUUGGAURUCCUGCAGGACAAAGGUAGGGUGCUGUGCUGUGUGUAAAAUGAUCCUUGGGAGGUGGACACGCUGAGUGUGACUGAGACUUUCCUGACAGCCUCAGCUUUAGCUGCACAGUACAGAGCAAAGAGCUGCCUGUCAGGUGACAGGGCUCCAUCUCAASGAGGGGAAGAUGAGGUGAACUGGAGCCCAGCUGCAUUUAGUGAGGGCUGGAUCAUCCUGCUAGACUCUGUCUGCACCUCACUGCAAGCUCUGGGUAUCUGCAGGUAUUUACCUGGGGCCACCUCCACGCCUCCCUGAUGUACCCAUGUACCACUGUCCUGCUGCAGGAGAAGCUCCUCUCUCCUCUCCYCACACCAGCCAUGCUUAAGCACACGCUGUGUUUGUAGGAUAAACAUGCCAGCUGCAUGUCUGAGCUACAGCCAUGGUUUUAUUGUAUUUCUGACAAUAGAGGGGCAAACGCGUGAAGAGAGAUGGAAAUGGGGUGAGUGGAGAAGAGUGUGAUGUGGCAGAGGACUUUCAGAGACUUCCUUAUUUCCAGCCCCACACUCGCACUCCCUGAAGAGGCUCUGCUGCCCAGUGGCUGAUUGCCAUCCCUUMGCUCCUGUGCUCCAAGUCCUGCUCUUCCACGAUUCCUCCCAGUCCAUCAUCAGCGGGGAGUUUUAAGGCACAGUUUGCUCAUCUGCUCUGGGCUCAGAGCACAGACAGUUUGCUCAUGUGCUGUGGCAGCAGAAUAACGCGUGCCCCGAGCUGUGCAUGAUGCCCAGGGACAGGAGCAAGUGCAGGAGCCUCGCUGGCAGGAGCACACGAGCCCGAUACCUGAUAGCCUGCAACGACAACUGUGAGAGAAGGAUUGAUGGGCUCAGCACGGUUCACAGGACSGGCAGUUUGGGCAGGAGAAGGACUUGUGCUUCUAGGAACAGGCAGGUGAAGUGCUUCAUCACCCACCGGGCAAGCCAGCCACCCCUGCACCCCUGCCCUGCCACRGGCACUAAUCAGGGUAACAGGCAARAGGCACCUCAYUUCCAGCUUCACUGCUGGUCUGGUCCUCACAAAACUGGCCAAUGUGCUUGKCAGGAACUGGAGAGGGGCUGAGGGGUUUGCAACUCCUUCCCCUACACCUUAAGUGACAGCAAAUAUCACGAACACCUUUUACAUGUCAGAAUUCUUAAGUCCCGUAUCUGCUCAAGCUCCCAACCCUGCUGUUAUAGUGCCUUUGCAGAUUUYAUAUUAAAUCCCAGAAAACAGAUAGGGAAAURCAUUCCCCUCCCCCUCUUUACAUCYGAGUUGCCAACUAAAAAAAGAACUUAUUUCGUAGAAGCUAGAAAUGUUAGCGGGUCUUCAGUUGAUAAUGAAAAUCCUUUAGAGAACAAAGGAAGCCGAAUAAUGGAGCCUGGAGCCUGUCACAUGUAAUUCUUGUUAGUAACAAUUUCUCUGAGCUGUUCAGGGAAGCGCAGCACUCAAUUUCAGAGCUUAAAUGACUUAACCAGACUUUUUACGAGGACAGGGUAUCUAGCAACCCUGACUGCAAAACAAKGCGAGUUUCUAGAGGCAGAGCGUGUGCUGCCAGUUGUUGUCCAUCAGUAACAGCUCAGGAGCUUUUAUAAAAUGCAGAUGUGAUCUCAGUUCUUUCUCUAGGAAACAAAAACAAUGAAGUUUCAGCCUGGCCUGACUAGCAAGUAAUGAGUGCUGCCAUCCUAUCAACAAAAGUUUGCCUUCUCUAGCGAAGCUCUUAAAUCACACAAAAACACCUUCAGAAGCAGCUGAGAUUAUCACAAUAAUCAUCACAUAAAUAUCCCAAUAUGCUUCUUGAGGAUGCCUGAUGAAAUGAGUGGGACAUCUGUGAGAUUCCUUCAUCCAGUGACCAAGGGAUUCCUCAUAUGGAAGCGUUUGUGAUCUUUUCCCUUUGGUGAUGUUUGUUGCACAAUGAGGCUGGUCACUGCCAGGAUAACAGCCUGGGCUUUGCUGGGAAAUGUGAUAUAAUAGGCAUUCCUUGCUGUUUUUAUGCAAACACCUUUUUUUCCCUGGCUCCCACUGGUGCGUGUAAACCACUUGGCAAACAAUGAAACACUURAGCGACGUGCUCUCUUUUUAUUUCAAUAACUUCUGUGUCUGCUAAGGACUGGUGCUUGGUAAAUUCUUCUUUGAAAGACCAAAGAUUGCUUUCAAGACUUAUAGCAGUGGCAGUGAUGGGAGUAUGAUAUAUGCACRUUUUUAGUGAAACUCUUCACUGCAAAUCCUGCAAAGCAGUGUUUGACCUCCCAAGGCCCUGYCUGGCCCCACUUUUCCAG